AAUGAACGUUGGCGGCGUGGAUUAGGCAUGCAAGUCGUGCGAUAACCCCGCGAGGGGGGAAAGCGGCGAAAGGGAGAGUAACGCGUGGGUACUUGCCCCUUGGUCCGGAAUAGCUGCGGGAAACUGCAGGUAAUGCCGGAUAAUAUCCUCGGAUCAAAGGUGUGAUUCCGCCGAGGGAGGGGCCCGCGUUCUAUUAGCUAGUUGGUAGGGUAAUGGCCUACCAAGGCGACGAUGGAUACCGGGUGUGAGAGCAUGACCCGGCUCACUGGGACUGAGACACUGCCCAGACACCUACGGGUGGAUGCAGUCGAGAAUCUUCGGCAAUGGGCGCAAGCCUGACCGAGCGACGCCGCGUGCGGGAUGAAGGCCUUCGGGUUGUAAACCGCUGUCGUAGAGGAGGAAAUGCCAUGGGGUUCUCUCCAUGGUUUGACCUAUUCUAGGAGGAAGGACGGGCUAAGUUCGUGCCAGCCGCCGCCGUAA
rnacentral:rRNA from 1 species